rnacentral:rRNA from 1 species
GGGGGGGGGGGGGGGGGGGGGGGGGGGGGGGGGGGGGGGCGGGGGCGCAGGGAGGGGUGGCGCUGGCGGGUGGGGGGGGGGGGGCGGGGGGGGGAUGCGUCGGGAGCUACUGGGCCGUGGGGGCGAGCGUCGGGCCAGGUACGCUCCUACCGCGUCCGAGCUGCGGGUGCAAUCAGGGGCUCGUCGGGCCUUGCGCGCCUGACUGCGCCGCUGCCGGAUUAGCUAGUUGGCGGGGUAAAGGCCCACCAAGGCAACGAUCCGUAGCUGGUCUGAGAGGGUGAUCAGCCACACUGGAACUGAGACACGGUCCAGACUCCUACGGGAGGCAGCAGUGGGGAAUAUUGGACAAUGGGCGAAAGCCUGAUGCAGCCAUACCGCGUGAGUGAAGAAGGCCUUCGGGUUGUAAAGCCCUUUUGUUGGGAAAGAAAAGCAGCAGGUUAAUACCCCGCUGUUCUGACGGUACCCAAAGAAUAAGCACCGGCUAACUUCGUG